UUUAAAUGAAUGAAUCUGCAUAUUAUCAUGAGUGUUCCCCUUGGUUCUUAGCUGAACCAAUUCAGAGACUUAUCUUUAGGCUUAUCACCCUUCGUGCCAUCCAACUUCUGGUUUAUGAAUCAUCUUUGGCUGCGGCACCACACAAGUUCUUCAUUUUUAUUUUUUUCCAUCUACAACCAUGUUCUUUAUGUAUCAGCCUUUAGUUAAGUUACCAACAUAAAACCCAUCCACACUCAUUCUCAUAAUAUUUCCACAAGAACGAUCACUCUUCAAGGAUCUAUGGAGAAUGAAACAUCAAACUUUCCUGGUAACAUUUUACAGUUUCCUAUUUUCUUGUGUUCUUUUUCUAUUUUUUAUUUUUCUCUUUUAAUUUGCAUGAAUUGUUGCAAAACAUAGGCCUUAGAAAACCACUCAAGAAAAAGAGCUAAAAAAGGAUAUGGUCUAACCCUUCAUGUCUUGUUGAAAUUUUCAUUAAAUCCAUAUAGUUUUGAUGUGUGAAAAAACUAUCUUAAAAAUUUGAAAUUCAUGUUUCUACAUAAUCACCCUACAUGAUCGUGUGUGCAUCUACGUCUUGGUUGUGCUUGAUUUUAUUCAUCUAAGAAUUCUAUAAAUUCAAUCCUACUUUUGUACCUCAUUAAUUUAGUUUAGAACUUUGAGAGAAGAUGAGAGUGGUAAAAGAUAAGAGUCAACAUUAUUUAAAAAAGGUAAAAAAAAAAAAAAGAGUUCAUACACUUGGGUGUAAGUGAAACACAGUAAGAGAGUAAAGUGAGGAUGUAUAUUAUGUCUUCCUAACGUUUUGCUAAACAAUGUCAGAAGAAGGUAGUUGUGAUCUAGGUGAAUCAAGUUUAAUCCCUUUUCAAAUGAGGGCCUUAAACUAAAAUUUUGAAAAGUAAUAGGGCAAAUCACAAGUGCACGAUUAUAUCGUCAAGUAAUAAAAUAUCGAUCCCACAAGGAUUGGAAAACUCCUUUAAUUAUAACAAUAAUUUAUCCUUAACUCAAAUAGGAAUUAAAAGUGAAUUUAGAACAAUUCAACAAUUGACAAGAAUAAUUAUGAAAAUAGUAAAAAGGGAUUGAAAUCUAAUUUAGGAAGAGUUCCCACGAUAAGGUUAUCACCUUUACACUCGCAAAUCCUUGUUUUAGUCCUUUGCAUGAACUUUAACUUGUGAGGGUGAAUUUCUCUCUGAUAUAUGUCAUCUUCUCUCGAGCUCUGACACGUGUACUCAAUUGAAGUCGCACCGACUCUCGUGGUACGAUUAUCAAUCAAAUCUUUUACCUGGAUCUUUCUAUCCAAUCCCUUCGUAGCAACCCAAGGUGAAUUCCAAAAACCCCCAAGAAUCCUAAUACUACUCUCGUGAAUUAGGAUUCUAGUUUGAAUAACUGAAUGGACAGAUAGUUGGGUUCACCUCUUGGUCCCUCCGCAAUGUAUCUAAGAGGUGUAAUUUGUUGGCCAGACAACUCACGAAUAAAACUCAGUUUAAUGAUUCAAAUCACAACUCUCAAUGAAAUAGAAGUAAGAACAAGUGUUUAGUGAAUUUAGAAGGGCAUAGCCUCAAUCCUAGAAACAAAGGGAGUUACUCACUCAUGAUGUAGAAGAGAAUCUCAAAUUCUAAAUUAGAGAAUUGUAAUGUAAAGUGUAAAGUUGUAAAGUGUUUUCAUCGUUGAGGGAGAACCCUUAUUUAUCCUAAUUACAAAAUAUUGAGCUAAGUCCAACAAAAUAAAUCUAAAAAAUAGGAAUAUAAUAUAACAUUUAUAACUUCUUUUGGCCCUUCAAUUGGUCUUCGCAUAGCCUAACAAUGAGUUCUUUCUUCUUGCAUCCAAUCUCUACUCUUAUUGGCUUUAACCCAUCCAAACUGCAUGAUAUAACAAAAAACAUACGCUCAACCUGAACAAAGAGAAAUAAAAGCUAAAAGCAAUCCUAAAGCCCUAAUUAUGUCCUAAAAUGCAAGUUAAAUGUAAUGCAAAUGUAGCAUAAUUUCACACUCAUCAAAUCCCCUCAAGCUUAUCUCUUGCUUGUCCUCAAGCAAGUAUUAUGUCUAACUUUCACAAUCAUGUAUGAAUGAUGAUAUAGAAACCGUGACCGAAAAUAACAAGCAAUCUCAUGUUAGUUUUGAAACAAUCCAGACAUCAAGACAAGACAAUCAUAAACAAAUUUAAUUCAAGCUAAGUCUUUGAGUCAUAACAACUUCAUGAAUUAGGAUCACUCUUCUCUCAUCACUCUCAUGUGUUUACAUGUCAUAGUGUUUCGCUUAGAAAUUUUAAUGAAAGUAAAAUACCAUAGGCUUGAUUAUAGACCAAAUCACUACUUACUGUAUUUGAAUGCAUGAAAAAAUUAAGAGGUCUUUAAUUGGUUGUAAUGGGCCCAAGGUGAAUGACUUAAGGUGGCAUGGUCAAAGAAAUGAUAAUUCAAAAGGCUUACAAAUGUUUCCCAAAAUACUUAAACUUUUUAAACAUAUGAUUGAAGCAUUGAGAUUCUCUUAAUAAGUCUUACUUUAUAAUAUGAUCUUUUCUCAAUCAACAUUUCUCCUUACAACACACGUUUUCAGUCCUUCUCUUUUAGUAUACUUUGUAUUUGUUUUUUAGAUUUUCUAAAAGAGAAGGAUGAAAUUUAUUUAUUUAUUUUCUUCUUCACCUUUUUAUGGAUUCUUUCAUCACACAUGACCUUUUUACCUUUCUUAUUGCUCCAACCAAACAUCAUAAAUUACACGAAACCCUCAUUUGAGUAGCUAUGAAAAAUCAUUAAAGUUCGGCUCAAAAGUGGGCAACUAAUGAGUUUUCAAUGUUUAUAGCAAGCGGUUGAAGGUCAAAAUAAAAAGUCAUAACUGUCUCUAUCAUUUUAAUGCAUACAGACACACUUCAAUCUUGAAACAUUCACAAAUCAAGUUCUAGAAUGUACAAUCAUAGAAAAUUAUACACUCAUGAAAGAAAAAAGGGUUUUAUGCAAUUGUCAAUUCAAAUCAGAACUCUUAUUGUGUUUGGCCCAAUUUUCUCCCAUUUGGUACAUUCAGUAGAAGUUAUGAAACGAAUACCUUUAUUUUACUAAAUUUAAUUCAUAAUUGUCAAAUCUAAUAUCUUUCAUGUUAUUAUUCUAUCAACAAAUUUUUUCUUCAAUGGGGGUCACAUAUCAGCAAUCAUUAUUCAUGUAUAUUUUUUAUUUUAAGAGAAGACAAACAACACAUAGAACAAAGCAGAAAAUAGAUGAGAUAUGACACAUAUGUGAAAUGCAUGAUAAUAUGAAUAUUCAACCUAAAAAAUUAAAAUCUAUAUGGUAUGCAUGACAUGAAUGGACUAUCUAAAUGCAAAACCUCCUCAAGCUUAGAAAUUUACAUUGACCCCAAUGUAAAAAUUUAAACAAUAAGAGAAAGAAAAAGAAAACUCACAGGUUAGGUAUAAAGUGUCCUUAACUCAUGUACCAAUCAUAAGUGGUUGACUUCAUCGGGUGUAGUGGAAGUACUUGCAAAAAAGAGAAAAAGGUCCCAAAUGGCUGAUAUGUCCCAGAUGGACUAGGUGCAAAUAUCCUAUUUGAAUGAUGCAGUUAAUAUGCAUUAUCGUGUUAGCACUUUUCCAUGUAAUUUUUUAUUUUAUUUUAUUUUUAUUUUUUAGAGUUUAUGAUUUUUUUGUGGCUGACACUAUAUACAUCCCCUUACAAAGGCUCCGAACUCAGGAUGACACUAAAGUCGACAUUAAAACACUAAAACUAAUGAAUUAAAGAAAAAUGUACCUCCAACUUGGGUUGCCUCCCACGAAGCACUCGUUUAACAUCAUUAGCUUAACGUUUGAUUCUUGCGCAUUACAUAGGAUUCCAUGAACUCAUACCCGAGAGUGAAGGGAAUAUUUUUACUUUCCUUUUAGGUGUUUUCCCUUUCUCCCAAUUAUCAAAUUUAUGUCUGACCUUCAAGCUCUCCUCAUGCGGGUUAUAGGAGAUUGGUGAGCUUACAUUUCUAGAUUCACUACCCUCGGCCACUUCCUCAUCCAAAUUCGAAGUGUCACCUACCAGCAUGCUUCUCUCUAAGAGAUCCUCAUAUUUCACUUUAGACACUUCAUCCUUCACUACUUGGUUCGGCAUAUCAAUCCUGCAACAUGAGUCCUCAAGAGAAGGUUGUUUAAUAGAUUUAGCAAUAUCAAAUUCAACAUUUUCAUCCCAUAUGCUUAGAGAAAGUUUUCCAUUCUUAACAUCAAUUAUAGCAUGAGAGGUAGCCAAAAAUUGUCUAUCUAGUAAGAUUGGAAUCUGUGUAUCUUCUUCCAUCUUUAGUAUUACAAAAUCUGUUGGAAUGUAAAAUUUUCCAACUUUGAUAGGAACAUCCUCCAAGAUGCCUAUAGGUAAUUUAACUGACCUAUCCGCUAAUUGAAGUGAUACAAUAGUGGGUUUUAGUUCACCCAUAUCCAACUUUUUACACACAGAUAAAGGCAUGAGGCUCACACUUGCCCCUAAGUCACAUAAAGCACGGGUCAAAAUUAGUGUUACCAAUUAAGCCAGGGAUAGAGAAACUACCAAGAUCUUUUAGUUUUGGAUGCAAUUUAUUUUGAAUUAAAGCACUGCACUCCUCAAUUAAAGUAAUUGUUUCAUAAUCAUCUAGUAUUCUCUUUUUAGACAUAAUAUCCUUAAGAAAUUUCAUGUACGUAGGCAUCUCCUACAGUGCCUCACUGAAGGGCAGUUCGAUAUAUAAUUUAUUAAGGAUAUUUAAGAAUUUCCCAGCUUUUUUUUCUAAUUUUGCCUUUGCAAUUCUCUAGGGAAAAGGAUUUGGUGGUACAUAUGAUGGUGGAGCUACAUCUUAUAUACCUUUUCAAAAUUUUGCUCCCCUUUAGGGGGUUGUGUCUUAGUAUGUUUUUCUUCCACUUGUAUAUCAUUCUCAAUUCAUGGAACAGCCUUGAGUUCCUUCCCACUCCUUAAUCGGAUAGCCUUACAAUGUUCAUUAUUUGGAUUUUUCUAUAGUUGUCAUGGAAAUAUCCCUAUUCGCCUAUUAAAGUUGCUAGCUUGUUGGACAAUUUGUGUUUCUAACAUUUUUCCAUGGAUUGUUAGGUUUUCUAUCUUAGAACUCAAAUCAUUUAACAUAUUUGCAACAUUUGUAUUAAUCAUGAUUUGAUCCUCUUGAAAUUUAUUAAGGUUAGCAAAUAAUUUUUCUUGACCUUCCAUUAUUAUUAUAAAAGUGGUAUCAAUAGGAGAAGAUUGAACCUGUGAAAACCAUGUUGUAGGUUUCCUAUUACAUUGCUCAUCCUGAUGAUGAUGCUUUAAAGUGUUGUUGCUCCUCCAGGAAAGGUUGGGAUUGCUCUGCCUGUAUGGUGGGUUGAAUUGUUGUCCACUCCUCUCCUUAUUGUCAUGGUAAUUGCAUGAUUCAGGUUGUUCAUUGGCCCAAGCUCCAUGUACAGGUGCAGUGACUGUUUGCAUUCUGACUACUCAUGACCUUUUGCUCCACAUCCCUCACAAGUUACAGUAGACCCA
rnacentral:lncRNA from 1 species